rnacentral:misc_RNA from 1 species
AACGCACAUUGCGCCCCUCGGCACUCCGGGGGGCAUGCCUGUCCGAGCGUCAUUAGUCAAUCAAGCACCGCUUGGCCUUGGGCCGUGCCGGCGACGGCAGGCCCCAAACCCAGUGGCGGCGCCGCGUGGCCCCGAGCGUAGUAACAUCCCUCGCUGUGGGCCCCCGCGGCGGUCGACCCGCAACCCCAACCCUCUCGGUUGACCUCGGAUCAGGUAGGAGUACCCGCUGAACUUAA